rnacentral:lncRNA from 1 species
GGAGACAACGGUCCAGCAACCCAAAGUUGACUGGGAGACGACGGCCUAGACCACUCACGAACACAUCGCAGCAUCCUCCAUGAGCAUCAUCCUGCAGUACCUGUUCUUGACCUGUGGUGUAUGUGAGACAGCAAGAGUGAGCUCACAUACGUUCAUCGCUCAGCAAGUUGUGGGGAAUAAUGUGUAUGAACUCGCCAAAGGUGGGAGCUCAUGUGAAGUGUAAGGCUUACCAAAGAGGAUGGCUGAAGCUGAGCAUUGCUUUUAAAGUUGGUCAAAAUUUUAUUAGCAAUUACUAAGUAUAAGUAAAUACCAACCCAAUUAAAUAGUAGAAUAGAAGUAACAACAUCACCUGCGAUGCAAUGCAUAUGACAAAUUGAAUUUAAGUUCCAUAAUUUAAUCAUGUGAGUGUCCGAGCCGCUCAUGACCGUGAGCACGGCUAGUAUACCAGUUUUACACUCUGCAGAGGUUGCGCAUCUUUACCCACAAGUCGUGUAUCCCAUGUCGCCAGGGUUUGCAAGGCCCUUAGACACUUCCGAGGUGAAUGGCUAGGGAUCCACUACGAGGCCUUUACAAAGUUCCACUAGCUUCCGAAAACCCGCUACAGUUUAUAGGAAGAUCCAGUACAGGAAUCCCUUGCAGGACCGCCAUCGCAGCAAAAUCCUCCCGAGGGCCUCCCCGCACUGACCUCUCCCCUACUGCCCUUGCCCCUUUCGGGUAAGGUAGUCUUCCACUAGCUUUCCUAAUUAAUCAGCCAAGGGCGUCCCAUUAAACCCCUGUGGUAGCACUGUUUUCCCGGGUGGUUCUCCAUGUUCCAAUUAACAUAAUGAUCUCAACAUGAACAAUAAAUAACAACUGAUAACAAAAAUGUAACCAUGGAUAGUGUAUCUCCAUACCCAAAACCACAUAUAGCACUAGCAAGUACUACCCAGAAAGUUCAGUGGUAAACAAGGUAUAAAGAUAGACAAACUAGGGUAACCUAUUGGGUCCCAUCAAAAUUAACCUAUGCAGAUCAUUAUGAUUAAUUAGAACAUGAGUAGGUAAAAAGAAGUGAUCAAGGGCACAACUUGCCUGGGCCUUGAGAUUCCAGGUACCAGGAUGAUCUUCAGAUGACUCGUGACCUCACUGCUAGUCGUAGCAAUUCAAACAAACAUGGUAUAGGCAAAAUUAACAUUACACCAAACAUGUAUGCCAAAAUACAUAUUAAUAAUCUACAUAUUAAAAUAAGAUCACAGGAAAAAGAAUUAUUAAUUUUGGAGUUAUAGAUUUUAAGUUAUGAAUUUUCCAAAGAUUAUAUGUGCUUAUUACAAGAUUAGUUAAGAUAACAAUUUUAAUGUGACUUUUAUGUAAAACCAGUGGCACUAAUUGAUAAACAAUAAUAUUACAAAUUUAUAGGAAGUGGAAUGGAUUAAUUUGGAGUUCAUAUGCAUUUUCUAUGAAUUAUAUAAAUUCUAGGAAUUAUUUUUAUAUUAAAAACUCAUUUUCUAAUUUAUUUUCCUGAUUUUAUAACUCUCUGGACUGGGCCUCAAUUAAACAGAAGCACAGGGGGCUCGGGGUAAAUCUUUUGAGACACAGUGAACAGUAAAAAUGGACGGCGGGUUGAUUCUCUUAUUUCCCGAGGACUCUUUAACAAAAUGCACCCGCGAAGGGGUACCAUCUAAUCUGGACCGUUCGAUCAAACGUUGAUGGCUCGGAUUAGAUCCAUGCCACCGCGAACCGGUACACAUCCUGAGCCGUCGGAUUCAAGCGCAAGGGUCCGGAUUCUAUUUAACUCAGAACUAUUCGUGACCGCGGGAUCGGAAUCGGACGGAUCUCAGUCACCCGAUCGAAUCGUCGUCCAUCAUCUAAUCGCGUCCGCCAAUCGUGCAUCCAACGGCCGAAAAUCGUCGGCCAGCACCAUCAUCCCGAGCGGCGGCGCCACCAUGCGACCCGGACGCGGCGGACGCCAUUGCCAGAGCUCCCAACCCCGCGAUUUAGCGCGCUAUUCUCCCUUCCACGCGGUGCUUCACCAUCUAAGGGGGCUAGUGAACCAAUGUGCAAAGGAAUUCUCACCGGAGGGGGCACGGAGCUUCCUGGCGACGGCGCACCACGGUACUGCGGCGGAGGUCGUACUUCGGCGAGAAAUUCGCCCGCGCAACAGUCCGAAGUCCGCCCGAAGAUGGUCCUCGCGCCUUCCCCGAUCGACGGCGAUGCUCCACGGCCACCCGCGGGCACCGUAGGUCUGGCCAGAGUUGAUGCCCACGGCGUCCCUCUUUCCGCCGACCCGCUCACCCUCGAAUACUCUCACUCUCGUCGCGAUGGUGCGCCAGGGGUUGCGAAGAUGGAGUAGAAGGCAAGCCGGAACCUCGUUGCAUCAUAUAGGGAUAGCACGGUCGAGCAGGAUCAACGGAUUCCCGAGUUUGGUUCGCGCGGGGACUACGGCAUGAGCUCCGCAGAUCCCGGUCAGGUUCGGUUCACCGCGAGGAAUUGGGGAGUUCGCUCCGAUGCUGACGCUCUAGACCCACCAAGCCGUGAGAUGGUCAUGGAGGGCAAGAGUCCCGGCGUGCGCGAGUCA